rnacentral:rRNA from 1 species
UACGGAGGGAGCUAGCGUUGUUCGGAAUUACUGGGCGUAAAGCGCACGUAGGCGGCUUUGUAAGUUAGAGGUGAAAGCCUGGGGCUCAACCCCAGAAUUGCCUUUAAGACUGCAUCGCUUGAAUCCAGGAGAGGUGAGUGGAAUUCCGAGUGUAGAGGUGAGAUUCGUAGAUAUUCGGAAGAACACCAGUGGCGAAGGCGGCUCACUGGACUGGUAUUGACGCUGAGGUGCGAAAGCGUGGGGAGCAAACAGG